CUUAAUGACAGGACCAAAGGCAAACCUAAAAAUAAGUGCCCCAAAAGCAAAGCUCAAAGAGCUCAAGCCUGAGCUUAAAUGGGCUCCUGGGCCACGGCUGGAGGAUGGUGGAGGCUCCAGGUGAACCUCGUCAAGCUAUUUCUGUGAAGUCCCAUACUCAAUUCACAGCUGGCAGGGAACAAAAACGUGUUGCUUUUAGGACCGUAAGUAUAGAGGCUAAGCCACUGGGGAGAAGAAAUAUGGUGCUUCAUCCUCCUGGCUCAAGUGCAGAACCUGAACAGGCUAGAGCACAAUCAGAGGAAAGAGCACGCCAAAUGAAUCCAUGGACUCGGCUGAGCAUUUACAAAUCCAGAAGCAGAAGCAAGGCUUUUUCUCCCAGAUGGGUCAGCAGGAGGAGCUGCUGCUUCCCCGUGGUCUGAAACGCUUUAGGAAACUGGAGCUUUUGUGUCUUGGACCGUUUGCUUUCACACAGAUGAAGAAGUCAUGCAAAGGACACCUCAAGAUGGAACACCGUGAGCCUACAGGGCCUGAGAGCAGUGUUUUGAUCCACAGCUACAGCAGUGACUCCGAACCAUUUGGUCACAGGUCUGGAGGUGCUGGUGUAUCAGAAUGGACCCGAUCACAUACUGUGACUGAGAUGUCGGCGCUGAGCCGAUUUAAGCUUGUUUGAAGGAUGAAAGUCACCGCUGGCUGUGCUGGGGCUGAGAAAUUACACCUGGCGAUAAUAUUAUGAUCUUUUUUUUCUUCUUUAAGAGCUCUUUGCACUCUUCCUCCAUGCUGUGCUCACGUCAGGAGCAGGGAGGAGGCAACAGAGGAAUUGCUCUGGAGUGCUAUUUUAGCCCAUUCCCACUUGCUGUCUGUUCCUCAGCAAGCAGGGUGACAUUUUUCUCCUUAACGUGACAGCUCACAUUCAGAUCAUCCCAUUUUGGUGAUGCAUGUGCUCAGGAUCUGUUUAAUCAGGGAUUUAACAGGAGGGAGUAGGGGGAGGCAGAGCGUGGCUGCGCUGAGGGGCUGAGAAGCAUUGAAUGUGCUCACUCAGCCGCAGGGGCUGAGCACCACAGCCACUUUGCUCAGGAAAGCAAUAAGAAAAAGGAGAUGGGACACUGCCAUUUGGAACAGCCCUGAGACAGCGCCGGAGAGGAAUCCCCUCAUGGCGCUGAGUAGGUCUCCUAGUCAGAGCAGGGCUCGGUGGAGCUCUGAGGGCAGUACCAGGGCCGG
ensembl:lncRNA